rnacentral:tRNA from 1 species
CAAAGAAUAGUUAAGUUCAGAAUCUUA